GUAUAUGCCAAUGAACAUGUUGACAUGAGGCUGUCCUAUAAUUAUGAUAUCUGCCUAUCAAGAAAAUCACCAACAUACUCACAUCCUCCAUCAAUAGUAGCAGAGUAGAGAUGGGCAAGGAAUGCGCUAUGAUAAAGUUUGCCUUCGUAUUCACUAUUGUCGUCACGACAAUUACUGUUAAUCUGUCUUCUUCUCAAAAGAUGCAAUCAAUGGCUAUGCGAAAUUUGCCCCACAAUAUGCUAUCGGUGAAACAAAAAUUACUGCCACUCAAUGAUUUCAUGACAUGCGGGAGAAUUUGUCGUAAAAAGAGUGAUUGUUCAGAUGGUUGGAUUUGUUAUGAGUGCAUAUAUACUCCUGCGACUGUAAUUGCUCCUGCCCUCUACCAGUGUGACUUGUGAGAAGAUCUUUCGCAAAAAUAACUUUAACAAGUUCUCGAGUGAAAAAAAAAAAAAAAA